rnacentral:rRNA from 1 species
GACGAACGCUGGCGGCGUGCCUAAUACAUGCAAGUAGAACGCUGAAGGAGGAGCUUGCUUCUCCGGAUGAGUUGCGAACGGGUGAGUAACGCGUAGGUAACCUGCCUGGUAGCGGGGGAUAACUAUUGGAAACGAUAGCUAAUACCGCAUAACAGUAGAUGUUGCAUGACAUUUGCUUAAAAGGUGCAAUUGCAUCACUACCAGAUGGACCUGCGUUGUAUUAGCUAGUUGGUGAGGUAACGGCUCACCAAGGCGACGAUACAUAGCCGACCUGAGAGGGUGAUCGGCCACACUGGGACUGAGACACGGCCCAGACUCCUACGGGAGGCAGCAGUAGGGAAUCUUCGGCAAUGGAAGGAAGUCUGACCGAGCAACGCCGCGUGAGUGAAGAAGGGUUUCGGAUCGUAAAGCUCGGUUGUAAGAGAAGAACGAGUGUGAGAGUGGAAAGUUCACACUGUGACGGUAUCUUACCAGAAAGGGACGGCUAACUACGUG